rnacentral:rRNA from 1 species
UUGAGCAUCAAACUUUUAAAUUGAAGAGUUUGAUCAUGGCUCAGAUUGAACGCUGGCGGCAGGCCUAACACAUGCAAGUCGAACGGUAACAGGAAGCAGCUUGCUGCUUUGCUGACGAGUGGCGGACGGGUGAGUAAUGUCUGGGAAACU